AGAGCUAUGGGAUCAAAAUCCGACCCCCCCCCCCCCAACUACGCCAAACUUUUGUGGUGGGAUGAAUGGACCCGAUACAUUGAUGAUGUCUGUGGACAAGAAGAUAUUCUACCUAAGUCAAAACAAUUGGAAACUGAUGAUGUGAUAAAGCGAUAAGACGUUGGCGAGUCAGCACGUGGCGCUGCAGAUGACGAUGAUUCUCCCUUUGUAUUUCUGCCCUGAAGAGUUUAUUCCGAAUCUUCAGAAAGUGAAAAAAACACGUCGGUGAGCGGAGAAAAGUCCGGAAUAUGUAAUGGGCGGAAGAGAGGACGCGUCUGCGGAUUAUAGCAUAGAAAAAAG